GGGGAUGUAGCUCAGUUGGUAGAAUGCUUGCCUGUUAAGCACAAGGCCCUGGGUUCAAACCCCAGCACAGCUCCCCAUCCCCA